CAAGUAGAAUAAAUGAUCGCGGCCGGGGCAGCUGCCCCGGGUGAGGAAAGUCCGGGCUUCACAGGGCAGGAUGCCGGAUAACAUCCGGUGGAGGUGACUCCAAGGACAGUGCAACAGAAAUAUACCGCCCGGGUAUCCAUGCUUUAUGGCAUGGAAAACUUAGAAAUUACGGCAAUCAUGUGAAACAUGAUUGCCAGGCACAUCACGCAAAGCGUGAUUGCCUUGGGUAAGGGUGGAAAGGCAGUGUAAGAGACUACCGCCUGCACGGUAACGGGCAGGGCACAUGUAAACCCCAUUCGAAGCAAGGCCAAACAGAAAGCGGUAAAGCCGGCCCGGCGAGCUUUCAGGUGGGCCGCUUGAGGCUGCCGGUGACGGCAGUCCUAGAUAGAUGAUCAUUCGCGACAUAACCCGGCUUAUCGUUCUGCUUGCUUU
rnacentral:RNase_P_RNA from 1 species